CAACGGCCGCGGUACUCUGACCGUGCAAAGGUAGCAUAAUCAUUUGCCCUAUAAUUAAGGGCUAGUAUGAACGGUCUAACAAGAAUGGAACUGUCUCUUUUAAAAUCCUUAGAAUUUGGUCUUUAGGUGAAGAAACCUAAAUUAUAUUGAUAGACAAGAAGACCCUAUCGAGCUUUAAAACAAUUAGUUAAACAAAUAGAUAACACUAACUUUAACUAAAAAUUUUGGUUGGGGCGACUAAGGAACAAACAAAGCUUCCUUAAUAAAUUCUACACUAAUAAGUAAUGAUCCAAAAUAUUUGAUUAAUAAAAUUAGUUACCGUAGGGAUAACAGCAUAAUCUUCUUCAAGAGUUCUUAUCGAAAAGAAUGUUUGUGACCUCGAUGUUGGACUAGGAUAUCCAAAAGAUGCAGAAGUCUUUAAAGGUUGGUCUGUUCGACCAAUAAAAUCCUACGUGAU
rnacentral:rRNA from 1 species